GCCUCAAGUGCACAUUGCGCUGACAAGCCUGCAGCUCGGCCAGGAGGGCUUGGUGGGUGCCGAGCUAACUGCUCCGUGCCACACUUAUCAGCUGUUAUCUGAUUGGACAGUGAUUGUAAGCUGCCACUUGGCAGUUAUAGAUUAAAAAUGGACAAGAUCUUCUGAUCUUCUUUGAAGUUCUCUGGCACACACUGAUUCCGGACCCAAACCUGACAAACAGAGCCAUCACUUCCUCUUGGGCUUUCUUCCGUUUGGAGGAGGAUAAUUCCAGCAGGGCAAUGUUAGCAUCCUUCUCACUGAUGGCUGCCAGCAAAGUCUGCUGCCUGACGGGGUGGAAGUAGGAAAAGAACUUUUCCAUUUAGAAUGAGACUGCAUUUUUAGCAUACUACUCGAGGGUUAGGGUCACUGACCCUCACCCCAGUUAAAGAGGCGGUUUAUCUUAUCUGUGUGUGCAUCUCAAAAAGCCAAACAGAGAUCCAUCUCUUUGUGACCACCACUGAGCCACUUCAUCAAGAACGGUUACUCUCCCAUUCAUCAAGUCGCCUCUCCUGAGUCGACGAACGAAAGACAUGGUUUUGGUGUUGUGGCACUUUGUUUGUUCCAGCUUUAAAAUAAGGCACAUGUGGAUGUGUGAAACUGUGAAACUUAAAAUGAGGAACUACUGAAUGUUUUUUCAUCAAG